CUCAGGAUGAACGCUAGCGACAGGCUUAACACAUGCAAGUCGAGGGGCAGCACAGGUAGCAAUACCGGGUGGCGACCGGCGCACGGGUGAGUAACGCGUAUGCAACUUGCCUAUCAGAGGGGGAUAACCCGGCGAAAGUCGGACUAAUACCGCAUGAAGCAGGGGCCCCGCAUGGGGAUAUUUGCUAAAGAUUCAUCGCUGAUAGAUAGGCAUGCGUUCCAUUAGGCAGUUGGCGGGGUAACGGCCCACCAAACCGACGAUGGAUAGGGGUUCUGAGAGGAAGGUCCCCCACAUUGGUACUGAGACACGGACCAAACUCCUACGGGAGGCAGCAGUGAGGAAUAUUGGUCAAUGGCCGAGAGGCUGAACCAGCCAAGUCGCGUGAGGGAUGAAGGUUCUAUGGAUCGUAAACCUCUUUUAUAAGGGAAUAAAGUGCGGGACGUGUCCCGUUUUGUAUGUACCUUAUGAAUAAGGAUCGGCUAACUCCGUGCCAGCAGCCGCGGUAAUACGGAGGAUCCGAGCGUUAUCCGGAUUUAUUGGGUUUAAAGGGUGCGUAGGCGGCCUUUUAAGUCAGCGGUGAAAGUCUGUGGCUCAACCAUAGAAUUGCCGUUGAAACUGGGGGGCUUGAGUAUGUUUGAGGCAGGCGGAAUGCGUGGUGUAGCGGUGAAAUGCAUAGAUAUCACGCAGAACCCCGAUUGCGAAGGCAGCCUGCCAAGCCAUUACUGACGCUGAUGCACGAAAGCGUGGGGAUCAAACAGGAUUAGAUACCCUGGUAGUCCACGCAGUAAACGAUGAUCACUAGCUGUUUGCGAUACACUGUAAGCGGCACAGCGAAAGCGUUAAGUGAUCCACCUGGGGAGUACGCCGGCAACGGUGAAACUCAAAGGAAUUGACGGGGGCCCGCACAAGCGGAGGAACAUGUGGUUUAAUUCGAUGAUACGCGAGGAACCUUACCCGGGUUUGAACGCAUUCGGACCGAGGUGGAAACACCUUUUCUAGCAAUAGCCGUUUGCGAGGUGCUGCAUGGUUGUCGUCAGCUCGUGCCGUGAGGUGUCGGCUUAAGUGCCAUAACGAGCGCAACCCUUGCCACUAGUUACUAACAGGUAAAGCUGAGGACUCUGGUGGGACUGCCAGCGUAAGCUGCGAGGAAGGCGGGGAUGACGUCAAAUCAGCACGGCCCUUACAUCCGGGGCGACACACGUGUUACAAUGGCGUGGACAAAGGGAAGCCACCUGGCGACAGGGAGCGAAUCCCCAAACCACGUCUCAGUUCGGAUCGGAGUCUGCAACCCGACUCCGUGAAGCUGGAUUCGCUAGUAAUCGCGCAUCAGCCAUGGCGCGGUGAAUACGUUCCCGGGCCUUGUACACACCGCCCGUCAAGCCAUGGGAGCCGGGGGUACCUGAAGUCCGUAACCGCGAGGAUCGGCCUAGGGUAAAACUGGUGACUGGGGCUAAGUCGUAACAAGUUAGCCGUACCGGAAGGUGCGGCUG
rnacentral:rRNA from 1 species